AGUGAACGCUGGCGGUAGGCCUAACACAUGCAAGUCGAACGGCAGCACAGUAAGAGCUUGCUCUUACGGGUGGCGAGUGGCGGACGGGUGAGGAAUACAUCGGAAUCUACUUUUUCGUGGGGGAUAACGUAGGGAAACUUACGCUAAUACCGCAUACGACCUACGGGUGAAAGCAGGGGAUCUUCGGACCUUGCGCGAUUGAAUGAGCCGAUGUCGGAUUAGCUAGUUGGCGGGGUAAAGGCCCACCAAGGCGACGAUCCGUAGCUGGUCUGAGAGGAUGAUCCGCCACACGGGAACUGAGACAGGUUCCAGACUCCGACGGGAGGCAGCAGUGGGGAAUAUUGGACAAGGGGCGCAAGCCUGAUCUAGCCAUACCGCGUGGGUGAAGAAGGCCUUCGGGUUGUAAAGCCCUUUUGUUGGGAAAGAAAAGCAGCAGGUUAAUACCCCGCUGUUCUGACGGUACCCAAAGAAUAAGCACCGGCUAACUCCGUG
rnacentral:rRNA from 1 species